rnacentral:rRNA from 1 species
GAUGAACGCUAGCUACAGGCUUAACACAUGCAAGUCGAGGGGAAACGGCAUUAAGUGCUUGCACUUUUUGGACGUCGACCGGCGCACGGGUGAGUAACGCGUAUCCAACCUGCCCCUUACCAGGGAAUAACCCGUUGAAAGACGGACUAAUGCCCUAUGCAGUCCUUUGACGGCAUCAGAUUAGGACUAAAGAUUCAUCGGUAUGGGAUGGGGAUGCGUCUGAUUAGCUUGUUGGCGGGGUAACGGCCCACCAAGGCAUCGAUCAGUAGGGGUUCUGAGAGGAAGGUCCCCCACAUAGGAACUGAGACACGGUCCUAACUCCUACGGGAGGCAGCAGUGAGGAAUAUUGGUCAAUGGGCGCUAGCCUGAACCAGCCAAGUAGCGUGCAGGACGACGGCCCUAUGGGUUGUAAACUGCUUUUAUGCGGGGAUAAAGUCACCCACGUGUAGGUGUUUGCAGGUACCGCAUGAAUAAGGACCAGCUAAUUCCGUG